rnacentral:rRNA from 1 species
GACGAACGCUGGCGGCGUGCUUAACACAUGCAAGUCGAACGGAAAGGCCUGCUUUCCCUUGUGGAUUGCGGGUACUCGCGUGGCGAACGGGUGAGUAACACGUGAGUGAUCUGCCCCCAACUUGGGUAUAAGCCUGGGAAACUGGGUCUAAUUCCCGAUAGGACUGCAGGGUGGUGCGUGUGGUGGAAACCGAUUUUCUAGUGGUUGGGGAUGAGCUCGCGGCUAUCAGCUUGUUGGUGGGGUAAUGGCCUACCAAGGCGGCGACGGGUAGCCGGCCUGAGAUGGUGGACGGCCACAUUGGGACUGAGACACGGCCCAGACUCCUACGGGAGGCAGCAGUGGGGAAUAAUGCGCGAUGGGCGGAAGCCAGAUGCAGCGACGCCGCGUGGGGGAUGACGGGCUUCGGGUUGUAAACUCCUUUCGACCGCGAGGAAGCCACCUGGUUGGAAGGGUGGUGACGGUAGUGGGAGAAGAAGCACCGGCUAACUACGUG